rnacentral:lncRNA from 1 species
UGUGGAAUGGCUAACUCAGGUUACUUAAAAUAUACAUCACCUUUCCAUUUUUCUAAUAACAUCUAAUCCACUGAUUAAGAAUCAACAAAAAUUCCGUGAGAUUAUGCCCUUUCCUUAGCCUUCUAAUUGCUUGCAAAGUUGGGGGGGGUGGGGAACAGUCCUUACUGUCCUUCCCAAAAAUAUGCUCAAGUCUGCCAAUUCUAACAUCCUGCCAGCAACCCUCGCGAGACCAACUGACACGGGUCUCUGGAAGGAGUCGGACCUUGGAAGAGCGUGAAGGCGCGCGGCAUUCUGGGAACAGUUACGGUGGCCGAAUUGACUUUGUGGCUGUUACCCUGGCAACGGGAGCAAAAGCAGGUUAUUUGCACUUGGAGUCCUUAGCCUGAAAGGCGGAGAUCCUAACAGGGCUUUGGAGAUUCGUGUAAGGGUCUUAAAGGCUCUUUUUUUUUUUUUUUUUUUUUGGUACCAGGGAUCGAACUCGGGAAUUUGAGCUUGCCAGGCAGGCGCGGUGCCACGGAGCUAAAUCUCCGACCCGUAGAGGCCUUUCUAAAAGAAGAGCGUCGUAUCCGGAAGUUUUCCAGGAGUGCUCCAUAGCCGGAACAGUGGAUCCAGGAAUCUGGGUCUCGCUCCGUUGUUUCUGGGUCUUGAGAAAGGAAGUGCAGCCCUCUGGCUCCUCACUGUUGCUUCUCUAGUUUUCUAGCUCCUUUUAGAAAAUUGAGUUUGGAUGCAACAUGUCAAGACAAUCCUUUAAGAAGUGUGGCUGUAAAGGAAAAGAGAAAGGUCAGUGCCUGAAGAGAAUGGCAAGUGAAGAAAUUGGAAGAUUUCUUUAUGGAAGAGUGACCUACUGUUUAUUAAUACAACAGAAAAAAAGUUGAUACUUGCGGUGGUUAUUCAUUGUCAACAAAAGAAUUAAAACCCUCAGCAGCAAAAUUCCUCAUUAAAGCAAUCCUGCCCAGCGAGUACUAAGCAGUCAUAAGAUAAUGCACUGUGAGGAAGAAAUAAAUGAUCUUGUCAAGUUGCACCUUUAAUGUACAACUUUAGAUAUGAUGCAGGUGUUCCUGAAAGAUUAACAAGGAAGAAGAUGCCCUGGAAAAUGCAUUUCUGAGACAUCUACAUUUGCUGACUCAGACCCUUUCCUAUUUCCUCAAUAUAAAGACGCCAGCUUCUCCCCGUGACAGAGCAAUUCCUCCCUUGGGAACUUACCCACCAUCCCUCUUGACAUUGUUUUCUGAUCUAAGUAAACUCUUGCCUUUAUUUUUAUUCUAGUCUUGGUAAAUUCUUUUACUGCUCACAUCACCAGUAAUGCUGUCUUGCAGGGCAGUAGUGAGGAAGAGAUUAAAGAUACUGCCAAAAAAGAGGAUAACUGACUGAUUACCUAAAGGAACAGGAGGAGAUGGGAUCCAUAGACCAGGUCCAUAAAUUACCUUAGAUUGAAGAUAGAACCAGGAAAGAGGAUGUCAAAGUCGAUAUAGCCCAUUAAAUACUUGGGGAAUUAUUGUGGGUUACCAUAUCCCAUUCCAUACUUUUCUAAUGACAUUAGGAUAAUGGUAGCCAGCUGUGCAUGUCAGUAGCUGCACCUAAGGGAUACAAGCAGUACUUUUUUUUUUUGGUACCGGGGAUCGAACUCUGGUCCUUGCACUUGUGAGGCAAGCAGUGAAACCACUGAGC